CCUACGGGAGGCUGCAGUGAGGAAUAUUGGUCAAUGGCCGGAAGGCUGAACCAGCCAAGCCGCGUGAAGGACGAAGGUGCCAAGCAUUGUAAACUUCUUUUGUCAAGGGACAAAAUCAGGCUCGAGAGUCUGACCGAGGGUACUUGAAGAAAAAGCAUCGGCUAACUACGUGCCAGCAGCCGCGGUAAUACGGAGGAUGCGAGCGUUAUCCGGAUUUAUUGGGGUAAAAGGGUGAGUAGUCGGGCUGUUAAGUCAGCGGGAAAAGCCGGGGGCUAAACGCCGUCGAGCCGUUGAAACUGGGUUUCUUGAGAUGUCGAGAGGUAUGCGGAAUGCGCAGUGUAGCGGUGAAAUGCUUAGAUAUUGCGCAGAACUCCGAUUGCGAAGGCAGCAUACCGGCGGCGAUCUGACGCUGAGGCACGAAAGCGUGGGUAUCGAACAGGAUUAGAUACCCUUGUAGUC
rnacentral:rRNA from 1 species